rnacentral:rRNA from 1 species
ACGAACGCUGGCGGCGUGCUUAACACAUGCCAGUCGAACGGUGAAGCGAGUGCUUGCACUCGUGGAUCAGUGGCGAACGGGUGAGUAACACGUGAGUAACCUGCCCAUCACUCUGGGAUAAGCACUGGAAACGGUGUCUAAUACUGGAUACGACCAACCCUUGCAUGGGGUGUUGGUGGAAAGAUUUAUCGGUGAUGGAUGGACUCGCGGCCUAUCAGCUUGUUGGCGGGGUAAUGGCCCACCAAGGCGACGACGGGUAGCCGGCCUGAGAGGGUGACCGGCCACACUGGGACUGAGACACGGCCCAGACUCCUACGGGAGGCAGCAGUGGGGAAUAUUGCACAAUGGGCGAAAGCCUGAUGCAGCGACGCCGCGUGAGGGAUGACGGCCUUCGGGUUGUAAACCUCUUUCAGCAGGGAAGAAGCGAAAGUGACGGUACCUGCAGAAGAAGCACCGGCUAACUACGUG